CCUACGGGUGGCAGCAGUGGGGAAUUUUGCACAAUGGGGGCAACCCUGAUGCAGCGACUCCGCGUGAGUGAAGACGUAUUUCGGUAUGUAAAGCUCUAUCAGCAAGGAAGAAAAUGACGGUUCCUGAUUAUGAAGCCCCUGCUAACUACGUGCCAGCAGCCGCGGUAAUACGUAGGGCGCAAGCGUUAUCCGGAUUUACUGGGUGUAAAGGGAGCGUAGACGGCAGCACAAGUCUGGAGUGAAAUGCCGGGGCUUAACCCCGGAACUGCUUUGGAAACUGUGCAGCUAGAGUGCAGGAGAGGUAAGUGGAAUUCCUAGUGUAGCGGGGAAAUGCGUAGAUAUUAGGAGGAACACCAGUGGCGAAGGCGGCUUACUGGACUGUAACUGACGCUGAGGCUCGAAAGCGUGGGGAGCAAACAGGAUUAGAUACCCGUGUAGUC
rnacentral:rRNA from 1 species